CGAGAUUCCCCCAGUAGCGGCGAGCGAACGGGGAGCAGCCCAGAGCCUGAAUCAGUGUGUGUGUUAGUGGAAGCGUCUGGAAAGGCGUGCGAUACAGGGUGACAGCCCCGUACACAAAAAUGCACAUACUGUGAGCUCGAUGAGUAGGGCGGGACACGUGGUAUCCUGUCUGAAUAUGGGGGGACCAUCCUCCAAGGCUAAAUACUCCUGACUGACCGAUAGUGAACCAGUACCGUGAGGGAAAGGCGA
rnacentral:rRNA from 1 species